rnacentral:tRNA from 1 species
UGCCCCGUGGCUGAGUUGGUUACAGCGUCCGACUGUUACUUGACAUCGGAAGGUCGUGAGUUCGAGCCUCACCGGGGCAG